rnacentral:rRNA from 1 species
UACGUAGGGUGCGAGCGUUAAUCGGAAUUACUGGGCGUAAAGCGUGCGCAGGCGGUCUGUUAAGACCGAUGUGAAAUCCCCGGGCUUAACCUGGGAACUGCAUUGGUGACUGGCAGGCUUUGAGUGUGGCAGAGGGAGGUAGAAUUCCACGUGUAGCAGUGAAAUGCGUAGAGAUGUGGAGGAAUACGAUGGCGAAGGCAGCCUCCUGGGCCAACACUGACGCUCAUGCACGAAAGCGUGGGGAGCAAACAGGA